UAACCCACAUGUUAGUUGAGGAACAACUUCAGGCUGGUCAUUCAGAGCCUAUGCUCAGCCCUUGGAAUACACCCGUCUUUGUAAUUAAGAAAAAAUCUGGUAGUUGGAGAUUAUUACAAGACCUUAGAGCUAUUAAUCGUGUUAUAGAGCCCAUAGAGGAGUGUUACAAUCUGGGCAUUCUUCUCCUACAGCUAUUCCUUUAGAUUAUUAUUUGAUAGUAGUAGAUUUAAAAGAUUCUUUUUUUUCUAUACCUUUUCACCCAGAUGACUGUAAAAAGUUUGCCUUUAG
rnacentral:sRNA from 1 species